GCGGUGUGCUUAAUACAUGCAAGUCGAACGAUGAGGCCCUUCGGGGUACAUCAGUGGCGGACGGCUGAGUAAUGCAUAGGUAACGUGCCUUUCACUGGGGGAUAACACUGGGAAACCGGUGCUAAUACCGCAUAAGUGGCGAGUUGAGAUACUUGUCAUUAAAGAAUUUCGGUGAGAGAUCGGCCUGUGUCGGAUUAGCUUGUUGGUGAGGUAAUGGCUCACCAAGGCGACGAUCCGUAGUUGGUCUGAGAGGAUGACCAGCCAGAGUGGGACUGAGACACGGCCCACACUCCUACGGGAGGCAGCAGUAGGGAAUAUUGCGCAAUGGGCGAAAGCCUGACGCAGCAACACCGUGUGUAGGAUGAAGGUUUUCGGAUCGUAAACUACUGUUAGCAGGGAAUAUAAUGACUGUACCUGCAGAGGAAGCAUCGGCUAACUACGUGCCAGCAGCCGCGGUAAUACGUANGAUGCAAGCGUUGUCCGGAAUUAUUGGGCGUAAAGA
rnacentral:rRNA from 1 species